CACGUAGGGCGCAAGCGUUUGUCCGGAAUUAUUGGGCGUAAAGAGCUCGUAGGCGGUCCAUCGCGUCGGGAGUGAAAAGCUGGGGCUUAACCCCAGUCCUGCUUCCGAUACGGGUGGACUAGAGGUAGGUAGGGGAGAACGGAAUUCCUGGUGUAGCGGUGAAAUGCGCAGAUAUCAGGAGGAACACCGGUGGCGAAGGCGGUUCUCUGGGCCGAUACUGACGCUGAGGAGCGAAAGCGUGGGGAGCGAACAGG
rnacentral:rRNA from 1 species